GACGAACGCUGGCGUUUUUGCCUAAUACAUGCAAGUCGAGCGAGCGGAACCAACAGAUUUACUUCGGUAAUGACGUUGGGAAAGCGAGCGGCGGAUGGGUGAGUAACACGUGGGGAACCUGCCCCUAAGUCUGGGAUACCAUUUGGAAACAGGUGCUAAUACCGGAUAAUAAAGCAGAUCGCAUGAUCAGCUUUUGAAAGGCGGCGUAAGCUGUCGCUAAGGGAUGGCCCCGCGGUGCAUUACCUAGUUGGUAAGGUAACGGCUUACCAAGGCGACAAUGCAUAGCCGAGUUGAGAGACUGAUCGGCCACACUGGGACUGAGACACGGCCCAAACUCCUACGGAAGGCAGCAGUAGGGUAUCUUCCACAAUGGACGCAAGUCUGAUGGAGCUACGCCGCGUGAGUGAAGAAGGUUUUCGGAUCUUAAAGCUCUGUUAUUGGUGAAGAAGGAUAGAGGUAGUAACUGGCCUUAAUUUGACGGUAAUCAACCAGAAAAGUCACGGCUAACUAC
rnacentral:rRNA from 1 species